UCAUACGGCAAUAAAAAGGAAGGAUGAUAUCGAAGCUUACUUCAGCAAAUUUGUUCUAUGAGUUUUAUCGACAGUACUAAGCACGAUCCUUCAACGUGUCUACCUCAUUGGCAGAGAACAGCUUUUUCAAAAACAGACGCAAACACAUAGACUGUGGGAAUAUUACUGAUACCAACGUAUUUGAAGCAUCCAAAUCCACGUGAGUCGUAUACUCGUAUAGUCAUGCAUGGAUAAUACUCCUUGAGUUCUGGCAUCUCCUUGAAACAUUGUCAAAUAAAAUUUCGACGCUUAGGUAGCACUUCUCCUUCGUUUACCUCGACAAGUUCGAAAGCAGCCAAAAUGGAACCGGUAUAAUCCUUCCUCGAUUGAAAUCUGUACCAUUCGAGUUUCGGUAGGAAAUCUGGUGGUGAGUAAGUUUCUGUGGAGAGUUUAACUAAUGGAACGGCAAUGCACCUUCCGCAAAACUCUUUCAUACCCUGUAGUUUGUGAGAGAAAAAUUCGAAAGGGAAUUUGAAACGAAUAGAGAAAUCCAUCUGGCUUUACUUUAAAUCGAACGGAGCUUCAAAACGAAGUAUCUGGUAGUCCGAUAAAUAAGUUCACAAACAGUCUUUCCUACUUUCUAAUGCAUACUUAAAUCGUUUAACUUUCGAAACUCACACAGAUGUCCCGAUCGAAGAUCUGUAGAACUAUUCUCGGUGGCAUAAUUUUAAUGUAUUCUUUAGUCCCAUGAAUUUUAACUAUCGGAAAUAUCAAACUUUCGUCCCAUAACGGAUCCAAACUUUGACGUAUGACCUGUUUUCAUAAUUAUUUAAAAAUGGAUCGAUAUAAAAACAUUACUUUUCGUUUCAUUCUCAAUUUGAUUCGCUGUGCAUUAUGUUAACGUUAAAUUUCAAUGGACUUAAAGUUAUCAUUCACUCACACUUGUCGUCAAAGUGUGCCCAAGAAACGUAACAUGUACAAACGGAUCUAACAAUGCGGAUGCAUCCAUACCAGGCUCGAAUUGUCCUUGAAAAAUAUGUGCCCGUAGUUGAAAGGACUGCAAUGC